GUUCGUGGUAAGUUAUUAACAGUGUUCAUCGCCUCACUUGUAAACAUUAAGUCGACCAAAAUGUGUUAAUUAAAAUACAAACUUGGAGGAUUUAAUACUUCACUACGUCACUUUUACGGCUCCAAUUGGUUGUUACUGUGGUGUUAAGACAACUACCAUAUUGCUGCCUCGCUGAUCGUGGUUAAUGAAGUUCCUCGUGUCAUUCGUCGAGGACGGUGACGUGAAGAUGUAAGAUAUGGGCCACAAGACGAAGGUUUGUUUUGGUUAACAGGUCUCCUGCUGCACCACAUUGGAAACCUUCUGCUAUAACAUAAGAUAUUGUGAUGUCACAUCUCAAGACCAAGUGUAACUAAGUAGAAGUUCACAAUGUCAAGCAGAGAUAAAAAGUUCUCCUGUGAGGAAUGUGGCAAACAGUUUGGCUUCGAGUCUACUCUUCAGAGACAUUUACUUGUACACAAUGGUGUGAAGGAGUUUGAAUGUGAGGAAUGUGGGAAAUGUUUCUCCCAGAAGAGUGAUCUCAAGAGACACAUUCAUGGACACAAUGGUG
rnacentral:lncRNA from 1 species